rnacentral:rRNA from 1 species
UGGGGAAUAUUGGACAAUGGGCGAAAGCCUGAUCCAGCCAUGCCGCGUGUGUGAAGAAGGCCUUCGGGUUGUAAAGCACUUUAAGCGAGGAGGAAUGGCUCUGGGUUAAUACCCUUGAGCAGUGACGUUACUCGCAGAAUAAGCACCGGCUAACUCUGUGCCAGCAGCCGCGGUAAUACAGAGGGUGCAAGCGUUAAUCGGAAUUACUGGGCGUAAAGCGCGCGUAGGCGGUUACGUAAGUUGGAUGUGAAAUCCCCGGGCUCAACCUGGGAAUUGCAUUCAAAACUGCGUGGCUAGAGUGUGGGAGAGGAAGGUAGAAUUCCAGGUGUAGCGGUGAAAUGCGUAGAUAUCUGGAGGAAUACCGAUGGCGAAGGCAGCCUUCUGGCCUAACACUGACGCUGAGGUGCGAAAGCAUGGGGAGCAAACAGGAUUAGAUACCCCCGUAGUCCCUGAGCGGGCUGGCAAGGCGCAU